UCCCAGAUGGCUCAGUGGCCAAGAAUCUGCCUUCCAAUGCAGGAGACCAGGGUUUGAUCCCUGGUCUGGGAA
rnacentral:tRNA from 1 species